AAAUCGAGAUGGUCCCCGGUGACCGGCGCCUGUUUCUGAGAAGAGGCCUGAGGAUCACUGCGGCUUAAAUCGAGGUGCCGGAAAACUCAUGUUUGGGGCUUAAGGCCUAAACUGGGCAAUUAUUGAUCCUUCUGGUAGGAAUAUUACGACAAACACUGGCCUCCGGUUCAUCCUUCACUCACCGUUUGUAUCUAUAAAAGUCGAGCAUUUCUUUCCGCCAUUACUCACGACAUGAUUCCUCGCAUCCCAAUUAGCUGUGCGCAUGCUUCCGCACCCUGCCCGUGAUUGAUGACGUACAGAGCCAAUAGCAAGCAAGGGGCGGGACCGGAGGCGGAGCUGCUGGUCCUCCAACCAAUCAGAGAAAACAAGGAGCCAACAAAAACAGAAGUUGCUCGAAAAGCUCAGCAGACUCCAGAGGAUACAGGUCUAAUCUGCAUUUCAUCAUAAGGCUACCACUCAUUCCAGAUUGAGGCUUCCUUCCCCUCUUCAAAUCCCUCAUUUACCAGUUGUUGAUCAUUUGGAUGAAUUUCAGUGUCGUCAGGAUAUUCCGAGAGACGUAUGCGCUUUUCACCAAAGUAAAGAUGGCUAAACAGUGUAGUUAUCAGAAAA